CUGAACCGUCAUUCGAUUCCUGGUGCACCCAUUUUUAAGGUUAUGUUCAACAUUCAAACAAACAACAAUUUAACUGCUUGGCCCUUUGAUGUAACAAAAAAUGAGUGCAAAUUGUGACCGCCAAACGGCGGCCAAGAAACUACUGCAAGGUAAAGGCAGAGACACCACCGAACAGCGAAUAAAUCGUCGCCAACGUCUUGUUCAACACUUUAAAUCGCUACGAAUUGAAACCAUUGACCGGUUCAGAAAAAUGAGUCACGACGACCUAACAUACGAGAUUCUAAACGAAAUGAAAAAGUGUAUUUUAUCAACUUUAGACACGAAAGAAUUGCUUGAUGCGGAAGAAAUGACGCAGAUUAUGGACGAUUUACAUAAGGAAAUGAUUGUGCUCGAGAUUGAACAACACGAGAAAGACACUAGUGAUGAAAUUGAUUCGAUUACUAAUAGCUUAAUGUCAAAGUGUUGCCUUUGUGGCGAUCUUGUUGUGCAAAGUAACAUUUGUGAUGCGUGUGUGGAGGAACUCAACUCAUAGAAAAAAGCUUUAUUUUCUUAAUUAAUAAUAAGUACAAGUUAAUUUAA